AGCUGCUAAAAACUGCAUCAGAUACUGAGGUUUAGGACCCAAUUUGUGUGUCCUGGUUUGGUGCCUUGAAGAACCUGUUACCUGUGGUUCAGCCAUAAGGAGACCCCAAGGUGUUCAUAAGAUCUUCCUCAAUUGGAUCCCGAGAGUCAAGGGCCUUCUCCAAAGGGUGGCCAGAGCCCUGUGGGCAUUGGGAGCCUGGGGAUGUUACUGCCACCCUGCUCCUGCGGACUUGGAAUUCCCAUCCAAGAAGGUCUUGUAAUGUGGAAAAAAAAAGUUGUGAACUUACCCUGGGAUGAUGACAGUAAUAUUUUUAGUAUACCUUAGUUUAGAAAAUCUAACCAGAUACCUUGGUUAGAAAUAGUACUCUGAGGUCACUCCUGGAAGCAAGGCGGCUCUAGCUAAUUUAUGUAUCGGAGAUGUAAUCACAGCCAUUGAUGGGGAAAAUACUAGCAAUAUGACACACUUGGAAGCUCAGAACAGAAUCAAAGGCUGCACAGACAACUUGACGCUCACUGUAGCCAGAUCUGAACAUAAAGUCUGGUCUCCCCUGGUGACAGAGGAAGGGAAGCGUCAUCCAUACAGGAUGAAUUUAGCCUCUGAACCCCAGGAGGUCCUGCACAUAGGAAGCGCCCACAACCGAAGUGCCAUGCCCUUUACCGCCUCGCCUGCCUCCAGCACUACCGCCAGGGUCAUCACAAACCAGUACAACAACCCAGCUGGCCUCUACUCUUCUGAAAAUAUCUCCAACUUCAACAAUGCCCUGGAGUCAAAGACUGCUGCCAGCGGGGUGGAGGC
rnacentral:sRNA from 1 species